GACGAACCGUGCGAACGUUAUUCGGAAUCACUGGGCUUAAAGGGCGCGUAGGCGGGCGGCAAAGUCAGGGGUGAAAUCCGGCAGCUCAACUGUCGAAUAGCUUCUGAUACUGGUCGUCUUGAGGGGGGUAGGGGCAUGUGGAACUUCCGGUGGAGCGGUGAAAUGCGUAGAUAUCGGAAGGAACACCUGUGGCGAAAGCGGCUCACUGGACCACAACUGACGCUGAGGCGCGAAAGCUAGGGGAGCAAACAGG
rnacentral:rRNA from 1 species